UACGUAGGGUGCAGGCGUUAAUCGGAAUUACUGGGCGUAAAGCGUGCGCAGGCGGUCUCUUAAGACAGGUGUGAAAGCCCCGGGCUCAACCUGGGAAUGGCAUUGGAAACUGGCGGACUCGAGUGUGGCAGAGGGGGGUGGAAUUCCGCGUGUAGCAGUGAAAUGCGUAGAGAUGCGGAGGAACACCGAUGGCGAAGGCAACCCCCUGGGCUAACACUGACGCUCAGGCACGAAAGCGUGGGGAGCAAACAGG
rnacentral:rRNA from 1 species